UGCGUUUAGCGGAGGAUAGUCAGCCUCGUUGAUGACGAGUUGCAACACGUGUGGGUCUUCGGUUCGCGUCAGUUCAAUGCUGACUGACGUGGCC
rnacentral:tRNA from 1 species